AGAGUUUGAUCCUGGCUCAGAGUGAACGCUGGCGGUAGGCCUAACACAUGCAAGUCGAACGGCAGCACAGAGGAGCUUGCUCCUUGGGUGGCGAGUGGCGGACGGGUGAGGAAUACAUCGGAAUCUACUCUGUCGUGGGGGAUAACGUAGGGAAACUUACGCUAAUACCGCAUACGACCUACGGGUGAAAGCAGGGGAUCUUCGGACCUUGCGCGAUUGAAUGAGCCGAUGUCGGAUUAGCUAGUUGGCGGGGUAAAGGCCCACCAAGGCGACGAUCCGUAGCUGGUCUGAGAGGAUGAUCAGCCACACUGGAACUGAGACACGGUCCAGACUCCUACGGGAGGCAGCAGUGGGGAAUAUUGGACAAUGGGCGCAAGCCUGAUCCAGCCAUACCGCGUGGGUGAAGAAGGCCUUCGGGUUGUAAAGCCCUUUUGUUGGGAAAGAAAUCCAGCCGGCUAAUACCUGGUUGGGAUGACGGUACCCAAAGAAUAAGCACCGGCUAACUUCGUGCCAGCAGCCGCGGUAAUACGAAGGGUGCAAGCGUUACUCGGAAUUACUGGGCGUAAAGCGUGCGUAGGUGGUCGUUUAAGUCCGUUGUGAAAGCCCUGGGCUCAACCUGGGAACUGCAGUGGAUACUGGGCGACUAGAGUGUGGUAGAGGGUAGCGGAAUUCCUGGUGUAGCAGUGAAAU
rnacentral:rRNA from 1 species